GCUUUCUUCAGCAGCACGUACUAAAAUUGGAAUGAUACAGAGAAGAUUAGCAUGGCCCCUGUGCAAGGAUGAUAUGCAAAUUCAUGAAGUGUUCCAUAUUUUU